GAAGGCCCUCGGGUUGUAAAGCACUUUCAGCGAGGAAGAACGCCUAUCGGUUAAUACCCGGUAGGAAAGACAUCACUCGCAGAAGAAGCACCGGCUAACUCCGUGCCAGCAGCCGCGGUAAUACGGAGGGUGCAAGCGUUAAUCGGAAUUACUGGGCGUAAAGCGCGCGUAGGUGGCUUGAUAAGCCGGUUGUGAAAGCCCCGGGCUCAACCUGGGAACGGCAUCCGGAACUGUCAGGCUAGAGUGCAGGAGAGGAAGGUAGAAUUCCCGGUGUAGCGGUGAAAUGCGUAGAGAUCGGGAGGANAUACCANGUGGCGAAGGCGGCCUUCUGGACUGACACUGACACUGAGGUGCGAAAGCGUGGGUAGCAAACAGGNAUUNAGAUACCCUGGUAGUCCACGCCGUAAACGAUGUCGACCAGCCGUUGGGUGCCUAGAGCACUUUGUGGCGAAGUUAACGCGAUAAGUCGACCGCCUGGGGAGUACGGCCGCNAAGGUUAAAACUCAAAUGAAUUGACGGGGGCCCGCACAAGCGGUGGAGCAUGUGGUUUAAUUCGAUGCAACGCGAAAAACCUUACCUACCCUUGACAUCUACAGAAGCUCGAAGAGAUUCUGGUGGGCCUUCGGGAAAUGUAAAAAAGGGGCUGCAGUGUUGUCGCCCCC
rnacentral:rRNA from 1 species